CCUUCUUCGGGACAGAAAUAGGUGUUGCAUGGCUGUCGUCAGCUCGUGCCGUGAGGUGUUGGGUUAAGUCUCGCAACGAGCGCAACCCCUAUGUUUAGUUGCCAGCACGUAAUGGUGGGGACUCUAGACAGACUGCCUGCGUAAGCAGUGAGGAAGGUGGGGACGACGUCAAGUCAUCAUGGCCCUUACGUCCGGGGCUACACACGUGCUACAAUGGAUGGUACAGCGGGCAGCUACACAGCAAUGUGAUGCCAAUCUCGAAAAGCCAUUCACAGUUCGGAUCGGGGUCUGCAACUCGACCCCGUGAAGUUGGAUUCGCUAGUAAUCGCGUAUCAGCAAUGACGCGGUGAAUACGUUCCCGGGCCUUGUACACACCGCCCGUCAAGCCAUGAAAGUUGGGGGUGCCUAAAGCAUGUAACC
rnacentral:rRNA from 1 species